rnacentral:rRNA from 1 species
ACGAAGGGGGCUAGCGUUGUUCGGAAUUACUGGGCGUAAAGCGAGUGUAGGCGGUUGCCCAAGUCAGGUGUGAAAGUCUUGAGCUCAACUCAAGAAAUGCACUUGGUACUGGGUGGCUAGAGGACCGGAGAGGAUAGUGGAAUUCCCAGUGUAGUGGUGAAAUACGUAGAGAUUGGGAAGAACACCAGUGGCGAAGGCGGCUAUCUGGACGGUUACUGACGCUAAGACUCGAAAGCGUGGGGAGCAAACAGGA